CAAAGCAGGAGGUGACAAAGAUCUCGGUUAGAUAAGGAAGUGGGUGCAAGUCUUGCGGCAGAAGAAUGGGAGCUCUGGAAUGCUUUAGGAGUUCGGCAAGGAAGGCUGGCUGGAGGGAUUUGAGAAGGGCUAGAUUAGAUCCAGUCGUGAACGAAGUCAGAGGAGAAGGCUUCGGAGUUUGCGAAUGGAAGCAUCGACGGGAGCUUGUGUGGUUCGGUCGUGGGGAAGUGUUCGGACAAGGGUUGGAAGGAGUGGGAAAGGUUGGGAAGAGGUCUUUGACGGAGUGAGGCUUGGCUCGACGUGAGAUUGAACAGCACAAUGGAAGAAAGAGGCGGAAGUGGUAUGAGAAUUUGGUCGCAGGUAAUGUCCGAGACAAGGGAAAUAGCGGUAGUUACUGGGUUGGACGGCAUGGGUGCAAGCACGGAGAAUAUCAACAGGCUCUGGGUUCACGUGGAAGAAGAGGUCAGAUGCUGUGGUUGGAGCGUGAGAAAUAAGAGGGAAGAUGGAUAGAGAGCAGCUAGGACAGGACAAGUGAUGUGAAAAUGGUUGCUGUGCAGAGAUUUUGAGCAGGAUUUGUGUGAAAUCUUAGCACAGUUCAAGCAAACAGGCAAUAAAAGAAGGGGCGGAUGGGUCUGAAAUGGCUUUUCCCUAUAUAGAUGAUUUCACGCAAGCAGGAAUUAAAGAAGUGGAAAGAUUUGAACAGUGCAAAGGAAGGAAGAUAGGCACAGAAUUCUGAAGAAGAAUCGCAGAAAUCACUGUAGCAGAUUUCGGCUAGGGAAGACUGAAGGGAGAAUUUCUGAAUUCUGUAGAAAAAUUGUGGCU